rnacentral:misc_RNA from 1 species
GAUGAAGAACGCAGCGAAAUGCGAUAAGUAAUGUGAAUUGCAGAAUUCAGUGAAUCAUCGAAUCUUUGAACGCACAUUGCGCCCUCUGGUAUUCCGGGGGGCAUGCCUGUUCCAGCGUCAUUAUAACCACUCAAGCUCUCGCUUGGUAUUGGGGUUCGCGGUUUCGCGGCCCCUAAAAUCAGUGGCGGUGCCUGUCGGCUCUACGCGUAGUAAUACUUCUCGCGAUUGAGUUCGAUAGGUCUACUUGCCAGUAACCCCCAAUUUUUACAGGUUGACCUCGGAUCAGGUAGGGAUACCCGCUGAACUUAAGCAUAUCAAUAAGCGGAGGA